UAUUAUACUAAAGAGUUGAUAAAAACUAAAAUAUUAUAAGAUAAAAUCUUUAAAUUUGAAGAAUUUGGCGGUAAUUUAGUCUUUUCAGAGGAACCUGUUUUAUAAUCGAUAAACCACGAAGAAUCUUACUUAUUUAUGUAUAAGAUAUUAGUUUGUAUACCGUCAUUAUCAGAUAAUGUUUAGAGAAAUAUUAUUGAAUUUUACAUAGUAAAAAAAAUUAGAUCAAGGUGCAGCCUAUAAAUAAGUUAAAAUGGGUUACAAUUAAUUUUAUUAAUAUGGAAUAGAAUUUGAAAUAAUUUUAGGAAGGAGGAUUUGAUUGUAAUGGGAAUUAAUAAGAUAAAAAGAUAUAAGCUCUAAAUUAU
rnacentral:rRNA from 1 species